UAGGGAAUCUUCGGCAAUGGGGGGAACCCUGACCGAGCAACGCCGCGUGAGUGAAGAAGGUUUUCGGAUCGUAAAGCUCUGUUGUUAAGGAAGAACGAGUGUGAGAAUGGAAAGUUCAUACUGUGACGGUACUUAACCAGAAAGGGACGGCUAACUACGUGCCAGCAGCCGCGGUAAUACGUAGGUCCCGAGCGUUGUCCGGAUUUAUUGGGCGUAAAGCGAGCGCAGGCGGUUAGAAAAGUCUGAAGUGAAAGGCAGUGGCUCAACCAUUGUAGGCUUUGGAAACUGUUUAACUGUAGUGCAGAAGGGGAGAGUGGAAUUCCAUGUGUAGCGGUGAAAUGCGUAGAUAUAUGGAGGAACACCGGUGGCGAAAGCGGCUCUCUGGUCUGUAACUGACGCUGAGGCUCGAAAGCGUGGGGAGCGAACAGG
rnacentral:rRNA from 1 species